AAGAACGAUUAAUGUUCUAAUUUAUGAGUUAUUGGUUUUUGUUUUCUUCUCUCCCCUUUGUUUUUUUUUUGAACAGUUUCUCUCUCCUCUGUUAAUCUUUCUCUUCUCUCUUGGAUCAUCACCGGCCACCUCAACCUCCAUCACCGGCGACCACCACUAUUUUAUAAAAUUAAGAAACUUAGUGAUUAAUCACAAAUACUCUUUGUAAACACAUGGAACGUUUUUCCGCCACAUAAAAGAUUCUAUUUUUAGCAUCUGAAACAUUUUUCCGCUUCUGGGUUGUGAAGGCACCGUUUCACUUGUAAUUUUUCAUCACCCAAUGGAGAAAAAAAUGAUCUUUUUGUUGACCCUUUGGGAAUACUCUUCUAUGGUGGAGAAUUUAUAGUGUAUAACAUCUCACAGGGUAUGGUCUUUGAGUAGAGAAGCUCAAUUUUCAUCUGGUUGCUCAUACUCAUGAAAGAAGAGAAGGUAACAACGGAGAGAGAAGCCGUUCAAAGAAGAAGAGAAAAAAAAAAAUCAAUAAGUCAUAAAACAUUGCAUUUAUU
rnacentral:lncRNA from 1 species